CCUACGGGAGGCAGCAGUGGGGAAUAUUGCACAAUGGGCGCAAGCCUGAUGCAGCGACGCCGCGUGGGGGAUGACGGCCUUCGGGUUGUAAACCUCUUUCGACUCCGAAGAAGCGUAAGUGACGGUAGGGGUAGAAGAAGCACCGGCUAACUACGUGCCAGCAGCCGCGGUAAUACGUAGGGUGCGAGCGUUGUCCGGAAUUAUUGGGCGUAAAGAGCUUGUAGGCGGUUUGUCGCGUCUGUCGUGAAAACCAGGGGCUUAACUCCUGGCGUGCGGUGGGUACGGGCAGGCUAGAGUGUGGUAGGGGAGACUGGAAUUCCUGGUGUAGCGGUGAAAUGCGCAGAUAUCAGGAGGAACACCGAUGGCGAAGGCAGGUCUCUGGGCCAUUACUGACGCUGAGAAGCGAAAGCAUGGGGAGCGAACAGGAUUAGAUACCCUGGUAGUCCAUGCCGUAAACGUUGGGCGCUAGGUGUGGGGCUCAUUCCACGAGUUCUGUGCCGCAGCUAACGCAUUAACGCCCCGCCCUGGGGAGUACGGCCGCCAGGCUAAAACUCAAAGGAAUUGACGG
rnacentral:rRNA from 1 species